rnacentral:rRNA from 1 species
CGAACUGGUGAGUAAUAUAUGAGUAAUUUGCCGAAAAAUGGGGAAUAACAUUUCGAAAGAGAUGCUAAUACCGCAUAAGACCACAUUAACAUAAGUUAAAGCGGUCAAAGGGGGCCUCUCCUUGGAAGCUCUCGUUUUUCGAUAAGCUCAUGUCCUAUUAGCUUGUUGGUAGUGUUAUAGACUACCAAGGCAACGAUGGGUAGCCGGCCUGAGAGGGUGGACGGUCACACCGGGACUGAGACACUGCCCGGACUCCUACGGGAGGCUGCAGUCGAGAAUCAUUCGCAAUGGACGAAAGUCUGACGAUGCGACGCCGCGUGAGUGAUAUGAAGGCUUUCGAGUCGUAAAACUCUAUCGUGGGGAAUGAAAACUGUAGAUUUUAAUAAAAUUUAUAUUUGACAGUACUCCAAAAUGAAGCUCCGGCUAACUUCGUGCCAGCAGCCGCGGUAAUACGAAGGGAGCUAGCGUUGUUCGGAUUUACUGGGCGUAAA